rnacentral:rRNA from 1 species
CACAAGCGGAGGAACAUGUGGUUUAAUUCGAUGAUACGCGAGGAACCUUACCUGGGCUUAAAUGUAGAGUGCAUGAGGUAGAAAUACUUCUUUUCUUCGGAACUCUCUGCAAGGUGCUGCAUGGUUGUCGUCAGCUCGUGCCGUGAGGUGUCGGGUUAAGUCCCAUAACGAGCGCAACCCUUAUCGUUAGUUGCCAGCGGGUAAUGCCGGGGACUCUAGCGAAACUGCCGGUGUAAACCGAGAGGAAGUGGGAUGACGUCAAAUCAGCACGGCCCUUAUGUCCAGGGCUACACACGUGUUACAAUGGCCGGUACAGAGGGCAGCUACCUGGAGACAGGAUGCGAAUCUCGAAAGCCGGUCUCAGUUCGGAUCGGAGUCUGCAACUCGACUCCGUGAAGCUGGAUUCGCUAGUAAUCGCGCAUCAGCCAUGGCGCGGUGAAUACGUUCCCGGGCCUU